UUGGUAAAAGUCAUCGCCAUUCUCUAAUCUUGAGUACCCAGGGACACGAUACACUGCGGAAGGCUGCAGGGACCUCUGCCCAGGAAAGCCAGAACAAGCCCUGUGAAAAACAAGCUGCUGUCCCUGCUAGAGGCAUCCUGCAAUCCAUGGAUGUUUAUCACCAAGCCAUUGUUAACAUGAGGAGCCAGAAAAACUUCAUCUCUUUUACAAGAAACAUUGAGAUUCCUGUAAAAUUAAGAAAUCACACAAUUUGAUGGUCUACAUUAUCUAAAGCAAAUGAGACUUCUAUUUGGAACAAAGACUACCUUGUUGGGAAAUGAGUCUGCAAGUUAAAGUGUUUUCUGUUUUCUAAGGAUAAUGGUCUCCAGCUUCGUCAAUGUUCCUGCAAAGGACAUGAUGCUGACUUUGAAGAUGCAAGCUUCCACAUCUACAGCCUCAAGGAAACAAAUUCAGCCAACCAACUGAGGGAGCUUUCCUUGUCCUGCCUCAAGAUGAGAUCACAGUCUGCCCAACACCAUGAUUUAGGCCUUGUGACACCUGGUAUGGAAGACCCAGUUAAGUUCUCUCCAAACUCUUGACCCACAGAACCUGUGAGAAAAUAUAUGGAUAUUAUUUUAAACUGCUAAAUUUGUAGUAAUUUGUUAUGCAGCAAUAAAAAAAACUAAUGCAAGGAGAUAUCAAUUAUUGUAAAAAGCUUAGCUUUUGUUUUAAAAUAUAGUUCACCAGUAGUAAGUUACUAAUAAGUAACUAAACAAAUAAAAGCAAGCCAUUUACAAAUCAAUAAUAAGAGUAAGUCAUGAACUAAAGAUUGUAAUUAAUCAAUUUCUGUACGCCUGUAAUGAAAAUAAAGGAGGAAAAGAAAAUGAAA
rnacentral:lncRNA from 1 species